UUUAUAGUUUCUUUUAGUGUUUCAUCACAUUUUUAGUCUUGGGGUGCUAAUUCUGUUUGUGAUGUCUACCACCUUUGCCACACAGUGCUUUGUUUUCUCGGUGACUCAUCAGUUCAUCUUCAUUGAAGGCUACCUUUUCUGUAGGAUUUUUUGUGGCCUAGGUUGUAGAAGUGUUUCAGAGAGGUUUUGUAUUUGUUUUUGCCAAUGCCCUGAGGGCUUCACUGGUCCUAUAACAGUUAUAAUGGUUUGGCUUGGAGUUCCUGUAUUAUACGGAUAGUUUAAAUAUAUAUAUGUGUGUUCUAUACUUUGUUGUGGCACAAGCUUGUGGGGUUUUGAUUUCUCACAGGUGGCUUUUUAAUUUUUAAAAUUGUUAACCCCCAAACCAGAUACAUCACAGCAUGUACUUGUGGGGGAGGGGCAUCUGUGUCAGCACAAUCUACCAUAUAUAAAGUGAGAAAAGAGCAAAGGACUGGCCCCUGGAGAAUACUAACAUUUAAGAAGUGGUGGAAGAAAAUGAGCCCUUCUGAAUCUACAUUUCGAUCUAUCAGCUAAUGAGGAAUGAAGGUUCAGCAAGAUGCUUUUCAACAUCUAGUGCUUAUGCGAGAAGAAAGGAGUAUCUGAAUUGGAGCUGUUAUGAAAAAUCCAGGAUACGAGGCCACUGCAAGCACUUAAUACAUUAAAGUGAAUAAUAUGCUAGUCAAGCUCAAUUUCUUGCUUUAUUUUCUGGUUUUUAUUUCUAACAAUAAAGUGUCAGACAGCUUUGCAAUUCUCAA